AGAGGAGGCAGUGUGGGAAAGGUCUAACCUGCCGCUACUGGCUUUAGAAAUGGGGGUAGGGUCCACCAGCUUUUGGAAGCUGGGAAAAACAAGAAAAUAGAAUUUUUCCCAUAGAACCUUCAGAGAGAAACACAGCUCUGGCAACACUCUGUUUUUAGCUCAUUUUGAACUUCUGACCUCCAGAACUCUUGGACCUCAACAUUAAUGCCCAUGCUAUUGGGAAUUGCUGGAGAGACCAGAGAAGAUCUCUGCCUAUCUGUAAAGCAGGACAAAUGGUGGUCAUUCUGUACCCAGUUUUAGAACUGUCAUUAAGGAACAUUGUGGCCAGACCUACAUGGACAAACUGCAAGAACAAAGGAUUAUGGCAUCAAGAAUUUGGCAACAACCAGCCAUACCUCUUCCCCUUUUAGUAUAAAAGUCUGAUAAGAUGGUUCUUUGGGACACUGGUCCACCAUCUUCUGGGUCUGCUGGCUUUCUGAAUAGAGUUACUAUCCCUUGUCCCAACAACUUGUCCCUCAGUUUAUUGGCCUGUCAUGUGGUGAGCACUAUGAACUUGGUCUUGGUAACAUUUUAUCUUUGGCUGAGUGGCUUUAAGUCUGUUUUGUACAUGCCUGAUUUGACAAUCAGUCAGAAGUGUGGGUAGAAAGAGUUCAAAGAUCUCCUCCCUGGCUUUCUCCUAUCUCAGAUUUUCUCUCUCUUUAGUGUUCACAAUUUCCCUGCUUCAGUUUUCUGUGUCACCAGAAUGGUAAGAUUUUAGGGUGAAUUCCCUAUCAGAAUCUGUAUCAUUGGUUCACACAUCACUAUCUACAAGUAGUUACUAUGCGAAUUAUGUCUAGAUGAGGUAAUCUGGUAGGCUCUUAGCCCCUCAAACCCAGAACCUUGAUUUUUAUUUAAUACUUUCAUUGAGAUGUGAUUGGUAUAUGACAGAGUUCACAUACUUAAGGUGGACUAUUUUUCCUAUGUGUGUUUGCCUGUGAAAUUAUCACCAUAAUCAAGAUAGUUAACAUGUACAUCACUCCCCAAACUUCCUCCUUCUCCUUUGAAAUUAUUGCCUCCUGCCCAUCCCUGAACUGCUCCUUCUCUAUCCUCCCCAAGUGACCAUAGAUCUGUCUUCUAUAAUUAUGGAUUUGUUUUCAGUUUCUAAAAUUUUAUGUAAUAGGAUCCUGCCAUGCAUAUUUCUUUUUAUUGGCUUCUUUUGU